GAGGAAUGUCACUCAUCACAUAGGAUUUUAGUGAAAAGUAAAGUGACCUAUUAAUGAUAAAAUUACCUUUCUAUAUGUUUUUAUUUUUAACAGAUCAAUAAGCAUUUUCAGAGCAAUUAUGUCAAUUCCCCAAGGUCACAGUCUAUAAAGCAGAGCCGGGUUUUUCACAUAUCUCACAAAGCAAGUUCUUCAGGAACCAAGAGAAGACACUGAUCCUGAGGGGGCUGGAGCAGCUCCAGGUCAGUGUCCGGGCCGAGACCAGCAUUGGAAGAGAAGGCGUGCGGCUUAGCAUGGAGACCAGGAGGGGAAAUGCUGCAGGGAGGGACCCUGGAUCAUUGACUGGGCCUCACCGUCUGGAGAAGAGAUUCUGGAGAAGUUGUCUCUGGAGUGAGUUUCUGUUUAGUUGGAUAAUUUGUGUAUUUAAUGACAUACAACUUUUCUUUUUUUCAAAGAAACAACCUUGUCAAUAUCCCACAAAAGAUCAAAAUAUAUAUUUUAAAAUCUUACAUUUAAGUAAAAAGUAAUAUAGCCAUAAUAUAAAGACACUCCAAGUACAAUCCAAGUACACUAGGCUAGACUGGAGGUUGCAGUUGGUUCAGGCAAGAUUCAUACCCCGAACUGCACCAGGUAAGCAGCUUCCCA
rnacentral:lncRNA from 10 species